rnacentral:misc_RNA from 1 species
GAUGAAGAACGUAGCGAAAUGCGAUAAGUAAUGUGAAUUACAGAAUUCAGUGAAUCAUCGGAUCUUUGAACGCACCUUGCGCCUUUUGGUAUUCCGAAAGGCACACCUGUUUGAGCGUCAUGAAUACCUCAAUCUCCAUCUUUUCUUCGGAUUGAUGGGUGACUUGGAUGUUGAGCCCUGCUGGUAUGCUAUAUCAGCUGGCUUUAAACUUAUUAGCCGGCUCUGUACUGGAUCGGUUUGACUCGACGUGAUAAUAUUAUCGUUGAGGAUGCAUGUCUCAUGCAGCCGGAAAGUAUCAAAGCAGCUUCUAGCUUGCCUUUAGUGCACUUUUACAUUUUAGACCUCAGAUCAGGUGGGACUACCCGCUGAACUUAAGCAUAUCAAUAAGCGGAGGA